rnacentral:rRNA from 1 species
UAGGGAAUCUUCGGCAAUGGACGAAAGUCUGACCGAGCAACGCCGCGUGAGUGAAGAAGGUUUUCGGAUCGUAAAACUCUGUUGUUAGAGAAGAACAAGGACGAUAGUAACUGAACGUCCCCUGACGGUAUCUAACCAGAAAGCCACGGCUAACUACGUGCCAGCAGCCGCGGUAAUACGUAGGUGGCAAGCGUUGUCCGGAUUUAUUGGGCGUAAAGCGAGCGCAGGCGGUUUCUUAAGUCUGAUGUGAAAGCCCCCGGCUCAACCGGGGAGGGUCAUUGGAAACUGGGAGACUUGAGUGCAGAAGAGGAGAGUGGAAUUCCAUGUGUAGCGGUGAAAUGCGUAGAUAUAUGGAGGAACACCAGUGGCGAAGGCGGCUCUCUGGUCUGUAACUGACGCUGAGGCUCGAAAGCGUGGGGAGCAAACAGG